UGGAGCCCAGUGGUUCCUCCCUCACCCUGUCAGGCUCCCCUCCCAGUGCAGAGCCCUGAAGUCAAAGAAGAAUUUCUUCUAAAGGAAGAAGGCAAACAUGGUGCUGCCCAGGCUGCUGAAGCUGCUCAUAGCAUCAAUGUGGCUGGGAUCCAGUUUUGCCCAGAAGGUGACUCAGGCCCAGCCAGCCAUGUGGGUGCAGGAGAAGGAGGCUGUGACCCUGCACUGCUCCUAUGACACUAGUAAAACAAAUUAUGGUCUCCUCUGGUACAAGCAACCCAGUGGUGGAGAGAUGGUCUUCCUCAUCCUUCAGAACUCUUAUGGUCAAGAAAAUGGCACAGAAGGUCGCUACUCAGUGAAUUUGCAGAAGGCAAGCAAAUCCAUCCAGCUUGUCAUCUCAGCCUCACAGCUGGGGGACUCAGCAGUGUAUUUCUGUGCACUGAGAGAGGGCACAGUGGGAGGGCUGUUGGAGGGAGGUGCACAAAAAACCCAGGGUCUGCCUGAGACACCCACCUGCUGUAAGGAAUGGCCAACUCAAACAGGAAGUGGCCAGGUCUGUGGCAGCUCAUGUCUGGGGUUGGAGAGAAAACCUCCAAUCAAAUCAAAGGUUGAAUAACCUGCUGACCAAACUCUGGUACCUAAGGAAACCCUCUCUAAGCUCAUAGACCACAUCAGAGUUAUCAAAGCCAGCCAUAUUGCCAAAUCUUUGGAUUGAAAUUAGACACAUAAUUUUUGACAGAAGAUUGGAAAGGGAGAGCAGCUACAACAAUGUUUGUUUGAAGAAAUGGCUAAGGAAGUUCAGAAU